GACGAACGCUGGCGGCGUGCCUAACACAUGCAAGUCGUGCGAGAAAGUUCCUUCGGGAGCGAGUAAAGCGGCGCACGGGUGAGUAACACGUAGGUAACCUGCCCCCCAGUCUGGAACAACUAGAGGAAACUCUAGCUAAUGCCGGAUGAGACCACGAUCCCUUCGGGGGUUGCGGCCAAAGAUGGCCUCUACUUGUAAGCUAUCGCUGAGGGAUGGGCCUGCGGGCCAUUAGCUUGUGGUGAGGUAACGGCUCACCAAGGCUGUGAUGGCUAGCUGGUCUGAGAGGAUGACCAGCCACACUGGGACUGAGACACGGCCCAGACUCCUACGGGAGGCAGCAGUGGGAAUAUUGCGCAAUGGGCGAAAGCCUGACGCAGCGACGCCGCGUGGGUGAUGAA
rnacentral:rRNA from 1 species